UCCAACAGUUGGUUGCUUUACCCCUUUGGGUUUCUUCUUUUUAACACAAUUGGCAACUCUCAUGCCUAUUUCGUUACAAAAAUAAAAGGUGCAAGCAGAAGAUAGAACGAGCGACUUAAGAAGUGCUUUGUAUGAUAAGAACCACCUAAGAAACGAAAGGGGAGACAAAAGUAAAAGAAGAAAUAGUUGCAUAGAGUAAAAAACUCAGCCAGUGGGAAAGACCACCCCCACGGUUUUCUAUUGGUAGAGAAGAUCCCAGCCAAAUAGCUGCAUAAAGUAACUGAAUAAAGAACCAAUGCGACAUUGUUUGUUGGUAGAAGAUCAGGUUAAUAGUGCAGGUUCUUACUUGAGACCCUAAUAGACAUUAGUCUUAGUCUGUGGAAAACUUAGGUAAUACAUGGAGGAACUACAACUCAAAUCACUUGAUCACCAGAGUUGGCACCACCAAUUGGCUUCGGAUGUUUAGAUUGUUUGGAACGAACCUCCCUUCGAUGAUAUCUGCUGAAUAAUAUGCAAGGAAUAUUUCUCUUUUACAUAUAUAUAUAUAUAUAUUCGCAUAAACUUAAAAAGUUAAAACUUAUUGUAUCCAUUGGGGAUCUGGACCAUGUCUUCUGGCCACUCGUAUUAAAAUGUUAGAUCGUACCUUUUCUUAACCAACAAGAUAAUUUCCCUUUUUGUACUAAAUCGCUAAUGAAGUCUUAUUUCUUCUUUGGUAAUUACAGGUUCACGCGUCAAAGUCAUUGCAGGUAAUGCUGCAAAGAAAACUAAUGAUCCUUACAUUCUCUGAUCCCAUCAACAAGUGGUUGUUUUCUAUCCUGAUUUCUCAUUCUCUGGUUUCUGCUUGUCAGCCACAUCAUCGGCAGCAGCAUUAGUUGUUAUUCUGUUGAUGGUGGCCACUGCACUCUAUCUUUCACUUAAGUCAAGAUAUAAUGAAGAGAUACACUUGAAGGUUGAAAUGUUUCUCAAGACAUACGGCACAACAAAACCCACAAGGUACACUUUCGCUGAAGUUAAGUAGAUAGCAAGGCAGUUUAAGGAAAAGGUAGGCCAAGGUGGAUUUGGAAGUGUAUACAAAGGCGAGCUACCAAAUGGAGUGCCUGUGGCCGUCAAAAUGCUAGAGAACUCUACAGGAGAGGGAGACGAAUUCAUCAAUGAAGUUGCAACCAUAGGACUAAUCCACCAUGCAAGUAUUGUGCGCCUCUUGGGAUUUUGCUCUCAAGGAACAAGACGUGCCCUUAUUUAUGAAUUCAUGCCUAAUGAGUCAUUGGAGAAAUAUAUAUUCUUGCAUGCUUCUGGAGCAUCUCAACAAAUCCUAGUACCAAACAAAAUGGUAGAUAUUGCUUUAGGCAUUGCCCGAGGAAUGGAAUAUUUACAUCACGGAUGCAACAAGCGCAUCCUCCACUUUGACAUCAAGCCUCACAACAUCUUGCUGGACUACAAGUUCAACCCAAAGAUCUCAGACUUCGGCCUUGCAAAACUUUGUGCGAGGGAUCAAAGCAUUGUUACCUUGACAACAGCAAGAGGUACUAUGGGCUAUAUUGCACCAGAGUUGUAUUCUCGGAAUUUUGGAGAAGUAUCCUACAAGUCAGAUGUUUACAGUUUUGGCAUGCUGGUGUUAGAAAUGGUAAGUGGGAGGAGGAACUCAGAUCCAGGUGUUGCCAGCCAAAAUGAAGUUUACCUCCCAGAGUGGAUCUUCGAGAAGGUAAUCACAGGGCAUGACUUGGUGCUUGCUCGAGAAAUGACAGGAGAUGAGAGAGAAAAGAUCAGACAGCUAGCCAUUGUGGCUCUGUGGUGCAUUCAAUGGAACCCAAGAAAUCGACCCUCGAUGACAAAGGUGGUGAACAUGUUGACAGGGAGGUUGGAGAACCUACAGAUGCCCCCAAAGCCUUUCAUCUCAUCGGAAAGUCAUCCUGUGCCAUAGAGCAUGGAGAAUACUAUGCCACAUGAUUUAAUGAAUAUUUGAGAGAGAGAUAAACUUAGUUCCUCCUGUGUUGCAUAGUAAUGCAUAGUACUAUAGCAUGUGAUGGUUGUUCAGUCUUUUGACGGGUAUUAGCACAUGACAUAUGAAUAGUAAGAUGUCACCAUGUAAUACUAUUUAUUUGCAAUAUAUCAGAUUUGGAGUUGAUGUAUUCAGUAAUCCGAAGGCAAUAAUUUUUAAAUUUCAUAUUCUGGAAUACCAAGUACGUUCUUCCUCACUGAAUUUCCCAGGAAAGAGGAAAUGUGUUCUGUUUUCAGUCAACCAAUAAUUAGUGUUAGAUGGAGAACUCACUGUCAAGAGCAUUCGCAUGUGGUAGAUAAUGCCAUCUCUAUUCCCAGGUGCUACAGGUUUUACAAUGUGAAUGGAUGCGUAAGCAUGGGGUCUGAGACUCUGACCACUAUUCCUACUCGAGAUUUUGCAGAACAGAAAACAAAAGGAAAUCAAGUCGAAGGGCUUACCUUUGCCAGUGCCAAGGAGAAGGCAGAUCUAGAUUGCAUCGAGCUGCCGUGGGUCGGCACUACGGCAGGCACCCUUGCAAGAGCAGAGAGGCCGGCGACGACGAGAAACAGCAUCGGUGUAGAAUGGUAAAGUAGGGGGAAUCGACAGCGGCGCGCUAGGAGAGACGUGACGCUUCCUCCCCGGCGCGUGAUUAGUUACAAGGGAUCGCCGCCCGGCGGCGGCCGCGGCCGCGGCCGGAGCACCGGCGGUGGGAAGAGGCAUCUGUGAUUCGGCGUUUCUAAUAAAAUUGGGCUGGGUUUCGUACUUUUGCGGUGUGUUGGGCUUGAUGGACCAGCCCACUGAAAAUCUCGGA
rnacentral:lncRNA from 1 species